rnacentral:lncRNA from 1 species
UUUAUUUUUUUUUUUUAGUAUGAACAAGUUUAAAACCCUGAUACAUGUUAGCUAAAUGCCCUACAGAUAAGUUGCACAAUUAUAAUCUACCAUUAAUUUAUGAAAAUGUCCCAAAGUAUGGUGAAUUUUCCUAAUAUCCUCGACAACUUAAUUAUUUUCUUUCUGACAACUAAAAAAAGAAAGACAUAUGAAUUAAAGUUUAACUUUUUAUUGCUAGUGAAACUAAGCCUGUAUUCAUUUGUCGAUUGCCCAUUUGUAUUUCUUCUUUAUGAAUUAUUUAUUCAUGGUCUUGAUCCAUUUUUAUAUUAGAGUAUCCAUCUCUUGGUUGAUGACAGUGCAGUAUGCAUAUGCACCUUUUAGCUGACAAAGACUGCACAUAGUCCCUCUAGUUGUUUGUAUUUCAACUUUCCUCAUAGUUUUGUUAUAUAGAAAUGUUGGAGAGUUUUUGCAGCCAAAUCUACCCUUCUUCUCUCACAUUUUUAAAAUUAUUUUUAUAAAGUCCUCCUUUUUCUUGUAUCAUCACUUAUUAUAUUUACCAACUUUUUCUCUCAUAUUUAUUGGUUUGUGUUUUGCUUUUGUUUUUAGUCGGCAUAUUUAUUACAUCUGCAAUUUAUUUUGCCAUGGCAAGAGGAAAGGCCCCUCUGAUCCGGGCCAAAUGGUUAUCCAUGAGUCUAAACUUACCCCACUGAUACCACAUGCAUUCACUACUGUAUUGACUGAUUGAUUUAUAAAAUUUCUUAUUUAAAUUCCAUUUAAUUAACAUAUAGUGUAUUAUUAGUUUCAGGGAUAGAAUUUAGUGAUUCACCAGUUGCAUAUAACACCCAAUGUCCAUUAUAUCAAGUGCCCUCCUUAAUGCCCAUCAUCCAAUUACCCCAUCCCCCCACACACCUCCCCUCCAGCAACCCUCAGUUUGUUCCGUAUAGUUAAGAAUCUCUUGUGGUUUAUCUCCCUCUAUGAUUUUAUCUUAUUUUCCCUUCCCUUUCCAUAUGUUCAUUUGGUUUGUUUCUUAAAUUCCACAUGAGUGAACUUAUAUGAUAAUCAUCUUUCUCUGAUUGAUUUAUUUCACUUAGCAUAAUACCCUCUAUCCAUCCAUGUCAUUGCAAAUGGCAAGAUUUCUUUUAUUUUGAUGACUGAGUAGCAUUGCAUUGUAUAUAUAGACAACCUCUUCUUUAUCCGUUCAUCUGUCGAUGGACAUCGUGGCUCCUACCACAGUGUGGCUACUGUGGACAUUGCUGCUAUAAACAUUGGGGUUCAGGUGCCCCUUCGGGUCACUACAUCUGUAUCUUUGGGGUAAAUACCCAGUAAUGCACUUGCUGGUCGUAGGUUAGCUCUAUUUUCAAUUUUUUGAGGCCCCUCCACACUGUUCUCCAGAGUGGCUGCACCAGUUUGCAUCCCACCAACGGUGUCAGAGGCUCCCCUUCUCCACAUCCUCCCCAACAUCUGUCACUUCCUGACUUGUUCAUUUUAGCCAUUCUGACUGCUGUGAGGUGGGAUCUCACUGCGGUUUUGAUCUGUAUUUCCCUGGUGCCAAGAGAGGUUGAGCAUUUUUUCAUGUGUCUUCUUGUAGGUCUUCUUUAGAGAAAUGUCUGUUCAUGUCCUCUGCCCAUUUCUUGACUGGCUUUUUUGUUUUUUUGGGUGUUGAGUUUGAUCAGCUCUUUACAGUUUUGGAUACCAGCCCCUUAUCUGGUGUGUCCUUUGCAAAAUCUUCUCCCAUUCCGUAAGUUGCCUUUUAAUUUUAUUUAUUGUUUCCGUUGCUGUGUGAAAGCUUUUUAUCUUGAUGAAGUCCCAAUAGUCAUUUUUGCCUUUGUUUCCCUCACCUCUGGAGAUGUGUCUAGCAAGAAGUUGCUCUGACUGAGAUCACAGAGGUUGCUGCCUGUGUUCUCCUCUAGGAUUUUGAUGGAUUCCUGUCUCAUGUUUAGGUCUUUCAUCCAUUUUGAAUUUGUUUUUGUGAAUGAUGUAAGAUACAGCACUAUAUUUGAGUAUAACUAAGCAUAAUGAUUAAGAGGCUGGGUUUUACACUCAAAACAGGCCUGAUUUGGAUUCACCCCCCCCCCCUACUCCUAUGACCUCAGGCCAGUCACUCAACCUCUUAAGCUUCAAUUUUCCCACCUACAAACCACUUAGCAUAAGACCUUGCACACUUAAGUCCUCAGUAGAUAUCAGUCACUAGCAACAUUUUCAAUAAGAUCUCAGAAUGACCACAAACUCUACAUCUGCAUCUGGUUUUUUGUCACCCUAAUAUUGAAGAAUAUCUUGGACAAUUUCUCCAGUGGCCUGAAGCUACUGAGGCAGCCUUCCACACUUCAACCAUGCCGUGGACAGCCAAGUGACAACUCAAGGGAAACCAGUCACUACAUUUCUUCGCAAAGCUCCUGGCCUCCCUUUCUCCUCCUGCGCAUAAGUUAUGCUGAUACAUAGAUAUACUGGCUACCACAGGCCAAUAGUGAAGCAAACAGAUCAAUACUACUGUUCUCCCCACCUACAGAACACAGACUCUGCUCCAGCCUCCUUCCCAACUCUGAGAAGACCACUCACUUUGCUCCAUGACUUAAAAUAUUUAUUUUUCCUUAAGGAAGAACUAGUGUCAUUACACUUGGAGGCCUGGAUAAUUUAGAAUUCAGGAGAAAAGGAAAGUCAGAGAGAGAACUCCAGGACAAGAUACUCAGAGAGUUUUCAAUGGUUGUGCAAUUAAUUCAAUGAGCUGCCCCAAUCUCAGGUGAUUUCUAAAGACUGAAAAAAACACCACCUGGGUAAAAAGCCAAGCAGUUAAAUCUGAGGCAUAAAUCAUGUCUUGGUUACAAAGUUCUCCACCUCCCUCUUAAAUCAUUACAUUCACUCUAAUAUUUCCUUAGUAGAGAGGUGGGAAGCAGUUUGAUAUAUAGGGGGAAGAACUCAGCAUUUGGAGUCAGAGCUGAGUUUGGGGAAUCCCAAUUCUAGCACUCACCAGCUGUGUGAACUUGGGCUAGAGAAUGGGUUCACUCAUUUGAAAAAUGGAGACUAAGUUUCUAACCUCAUAGAUUUAUGAUGGAGAUUAAAUUCCCUAACAUAGGAGGUAUUAACAAAUGAUAGGACGUUAUUACCUAAAAUCACUGGCACUUCAGUGUCUAUACUGUCUUCUCCAUAUUCUCUCAGCUAAGGAUCUAGGAUUUGAGAACUUGAAGGGAGAUGGAUGCAGUCAUCUGACUCUUCAUUCUACACAAGAGGAAUUGAAGCCUAUCAAAGAGUUCGAAAGACAUUUCUAAGACAUGUGAUCAGAUACAUGCCAAACCCUGUCACCUGUCUUCUAGGCUAGUUCAGUUCAGCGUUUAUUUAAGCAUCUACUAUAUGCCAUAUAAUGGAGAGUAAAAUGAAGAAUAAGAGCCUCUGCCCUUGGGCAGCUCCAAUUCCAAUUCCCCUCUGGGUGUACACUCUCCCUCUUUGGAUCAUAAACUCCUCAACUAGGAAGACUGUGUCUGCCACCACUGUCUAGCACCCCAUAGGAGUCAAAAUCCGAUGGUGCGUAUAAUAGGUACCCAACACGUUUUGGGGAGAAAUCAGAAACAUCUUUAUUGCCCCAUGUCAGAUCUGCUCCAGAUGGAGAAAAUAAUAUUCCCAAGUAACCCAGAGCCCACAGUACAACCUGCCUUAUCCCCUAGGGCACCAUUCUCUCCUUAGCCUCAGCCCAACACCGUAAGAGUAAUAGUGAAAGAAUCUGACUCCAGAGCUUGCAGGCCUCUCAUCAUCAUACCAUCUCUUCUUUUCUCUCUAAAAAUCUAGGAAAAUGCAGCAGAAAAUGUAGGACAGCACACUCUCUGAGUAAUAGGAAAGAACCUUUUGAAUGGAUUCCCUCUCUGGAUGCCAGUGGCAGGAGGGCAUAAUAACUAAGUGCUUGAAUUUAUUAUCUCCUCUUUCUGAGUCUUCACUGCUCCAUCACUUUUGUCCAUCAGCAAUUAGAUUCUAUGUCUAGGCCGCUGCUCUCAACGUCUCCAUGUCUGCUGCACUAUCAGUUAAUGGCUGCAGGAAUUCUCUAGAAGGCAGGCUUUCCUGGCCGAGUACCCAGAGGUCAAAGGGGCUCCUUCAUUUUGGGAGAUGGUGCCCAUGUAUGUCUUCCUGAGUCUCACAGUCAGCAUCGAGGAGAUUGCAAGCCACUUCCAACUUGCUUACUCCCCGUGUGCAUAUCCCUGUCUUCUUCUCUCUUCUUGAGAGAGCCAGGCAGUGAGGUCUCUCUGCCUCUGAAGAGGAUCUACCUCUGCACAUAGUCAUAAUAUGAUGUCUCUCCCUGGGAUACAUAGAGGGAGUUAUUGAGCCAAGAGUUUAUUAUCGAGCUUAGCAUGAAUGUACAGUGAGGAGAGCUGAAUGCAAAACCAAAUGUUCCAAGUGUUCCUAAUUCCAUGUGUUUUGAAGUGCCUGAAGCAGGAAUUUUAUGGAAGAGGGAGAAAGACUCUUCCCUGGUGGUAAAUUAAGGAUACAUCUCUUUGGCUUUGGAUCAUGAUCAGGCCCUUAGCAGUCAACUAAUCCCAUUCUCUCUUUAUUUUCUAAUUGCAUUCUUACCAACAAGGCUGAGCCUUGUUUUCAUAGUAUACUAAGCCUUGCUAAAAAGCUUCUCUGUUCUGAGGCUCCCUCUAAAACAUGUCUUCGCUUCCAAGGGUAAUGAACUCUUUUAUAAUAAACGCCUUGCUUUAAUGCACGCUCUCUUUGGUUUCCAGGAACUGCCUUAUAAUUACACGGCUCAGUAUUGCAUGUCAGAGGUUUGCUUCACCUUUAAUAUUUUAUGAAGAAAUUCAGAUUUUGACAGUAAAAAUAUUUAACCCAGAGGACCCAAAGCUCAGACUAUUAUUUUGUAAAGUAGCCAUCUAGCUGCACACUUGUGCAUCACUGGUUUCCCCAGUGCAUACUCACACUCUUUGGUACUCUCUGAGCAGACCCAACCACAUGCUGUCCAGAUGGAAACCUGGCUGUAUCAUUACAUUAUAUUGAAAUAACCCAAUACCACCUGUUUCUGUUGGGGCUCCUGCCAACAUUUUCCCAUAAAACAUUUAUUUUGCUAAUAUUUUAGUUGGUCACCACAGAAGGACACUUGAAGUUAAAGAUUUACCAUGUGUUGCAGCCACUCAGAGCCAAGAGAGGCAAAAAAUAAAAAUAAAAAGCCCUUUGAAACCAGGCAGCAGAGUUGGAGAAGAGCAAACGUCUAUCUAUUGUUUCCAAAGGUGGAUGCUUCACCUGGCAUGAUGUAAUCACGGGUACCAGCAUUUCAAAACAAGGUUUUCUUGGCAAUCUUCACAAAAUGAAUUAUUCUCCUGUGUCUGGUGCUCAUCUUUGGGUUGUAAAAAUAUUUUCAGCUUUGUAAGGAGACUUUCCUGCUUCUUGGCAAGUUUUCUCCCUCCAAAAUGUUGCAUUGUGUAAGUAAGUUCAUGGGGAUAGGAAGUUGACUAGAUUAAUUCGACAUAUAGAAACAUAAAGCAUAUAUUAUUUUCAUUCUAUCAAGAGCAGGAUGGGGGAUUGGUGUUACAUAUUAGGAACUGACCCUGAACAUGAUGUUCAAAGUCAUUAGAUGUCCUUGGAAGCAGAAGCAAUGAACUUAUCCUCAGGAUUGAACAUCCAAUUGGAACCCCUUGGUAUAGAGACAAAAUGCGACCUUAAUAAAGUUACACAGCAUUUUUUUCUGUCUUCUGCAACUACAUAACUGCUUGUCAUAAAAUACAGAAUGAAAACUAGCUCAACUAUUGGGAGACCAUCGGAGGGGUGCGCCAAGCGUCACUUGGAACUGCUUACACCUAGUUGCAUCUUUAGAAGAAGACCUUUACCAUCUACCUCCUGUGCUGCCGAAGCUGAACCCAGCUUCCCCGCCGGUUUGAGCUUACACCGACAUUACUGUCUCAGUUUUCUUUUGUGCGUUGAAACUCUUCCUCUCCAGAAUGAACCCCUGAGGACUAAGGCAUGCACACAAAGUGAUUAAUGGAGUUUGACUACAUACGCAUAACUUCUCCAAUCUUUUGGCUUUCACAGUGCCUGGAAUCUUCAUGAGAUUUUCCCAGAAUUCUGAUUCACUGCAGAGUGGUAUCCCUUUCUAUCAUUGUAAUGGGUGAUCAAUUACAAAGGUUAACUGCAUAGCCCUUGCCCCUCUUCCUCUCCAGUUAAUUAGGAGGCUGUGUCUUCCCUUGUACUCCUUCUAGACUGAUGACUAAAAUUCAGAGGAGAAGAAAAGGAAUGAGCCUGGAGCCCCACUCAUGUAAUGUGUCCAUUUUUCAGCUCAAGGAGCUCUUUUACACCAAAAUGCCCACUUUGCAUUGUAAAAGUAAUUUAUAUUUUAGAUAUUUGUUUUAAAAGUCAACUUGUAACCUAUAAUGGCUAUAGAUAUAGAUUAAGAAUCACAAGUAAAGCAAUGUACCUCUCUCGACAGCUCCCAUUCAUGUUCACAUAUCCUCCCUAAAGACAGAUAAUCAUAUAAUUAAGCAAUCCAUUUUUCAGCAUAUAUGUGCUGUACAAAAGACAGCGAUACAAUGAAUCCUGGUGUGUGCUUUCGUUCAAAGUAGAAAAUACUGAAUAAUCACCUUUUUAUGAAAGCACUUGACCUUUAAAUUGAUAUUUUCCACCAACAAAUUAUAAUUAUUGUUCAAAGAGGUGUUGAACGCGGCACAGAUAAUCCAAAGGUGGCCCAUCUGCUACUCACUGCUACAGUCUGUGUCAAAUGACAGCACUAGCUGACUGCCAUAAAAAGUACAGAAAGAGUCACUUUUGGCUUUCUGUCAACACCAGGCUUCAUUUUUUUGUUCCUUUUCUAAGAUUGUGAAUCUAAAAUGUUAAGACCAGCAUGAAUUCAUAAAUACCACUUGUUAAUCUGUAUCUUUCUACAUGGAGAAUCCCAACAUUCUGGAUGGCAUAAAGCAGGACAAAUGGCAACUCAGCCUCAAACGUUGAGCCUCCUCUCAAAACAGAAACUUCUCUCUUGAGUUGCCAGAUUUAGCCAAUACAAAUAUAAGACGUCCAGCUAAAUUUGAAUUUCAGAAGCAUAAGAAUGUUUCAUAAGCAGAUGAUUCAUUAUUUAUCUAAAAUUCGAACUCAACUGGGCAGCCCGUAUUUUCUCUGGCAGCUCUAGACCUGAGCCCUGAGUCUCUCAUUCUGAUUUCCUCUAGGUAUCUCUCCUUUCCCUUUCCUACAGAGGAAAACAUCAAAUAUGGACAGCUUCGGCUUCCAACACACACAGGUUGCUGAUGGCUGAAAAUGAUGAGUGCUAAGAAGUCAAUAUCCAACAUCCUUUAUGUUGUUUAUUUUUAUGAGUUACUUAUUGGACUGUUUCCCUUCUCAUUAUUAAACAACUCUUUUAAUCACUGCCUCAAUUCCUGGAAUCCUUUAUCAAGAGCAAGGACAACUCUGUCUAGUCUGAGCAAAGAAAAAUGUGAACCUUAUGCUAAUAGUCAAAAGCUUUUUGUUUACCCUGCCAGCAUCUAUCGGGGUGUGCGCAUUGUGUGGAUUCAUCAUGAGAAAUGCUCAAGGCAAUGCAGUGGUUUCUGCUGCAGUCAGAUCCAUUCUUGUUGAGCACUGGAAAUGCACUCUACCCUUCCCCCGAAGGGUCCUCCCUGCAUUCCAAGCUCAGACCAGGACCCAAGGGAAAGGCUGGAACAGCCAAAGUAGACAGAAAGCCUUGAACCUUGAGGCCACAGCUCCUGUGGCAAGACUGCCAGGCCAGAAGAGCAUCCUGGCCCAACAACAGCAGAAACCUCUUCCCCACUAGCCAUUCCCACCUUUCCACACCGGGAAAAAAAAUCUUUCUGACUCUCCACCUCAUUUCCCCUUCCCUCAUGCCAUCAAGUAGCCACCAUGGACUCUCAAUCUAAAAUCAUACUUUCCCAAAAAAAAAAAAAAAAAAAAAAA